rnacentral:rRNA from 1 species
GAACGCUGGCGGCGUGCCUAAUACAUGCAAGUCGAACGGUCUUUCUAUGGAAGCUUGCUUCCACUGAGAAGAUAGUGGCGAACGGGUGAGUAACACGUGGGUAACCUGCCCAUAAGAGGGGGGAUAACAUCCGGAAACGGGUGCUAAUACCGCAUAGUUUUCUUGAUCGCAUGAUCGGGAAAGGAAAGACGGCCUUUGUGCUGUCGCUUAUGGAUGGACCCGCGGCGUAUUAGUUAGUUGGUGAGGUAACGGCUCACCAAGACGAUGAUACGUAGCCGACCUGAGAGGGUGAUCGGCCACAUUGGGACUGAGACACGGCCCAAACUCCUACGGGAGGCAGCAGUAGGGAAUCUUCCGCAAUGGACGAAAGUCUGACGGAGCAACGCCGCGUGAGUGAAGAAAAGGUUUUCGGAUCGUAAAACUCUGUUGUCAGAGAAGAACAAGUUGGAGAGUAACUGCUCCAGCCUUGACGGUAUCUGACCAGAAAGCCACGGCUAACUACGUGCCAGCCGCUGC